GAACGGGUAGUAGCAAUACUACUAGUGGCGCACGGGUGCGUAACACGUAACUAACCUGCCCAAGACUGGGGGAUAGCCCGCCGAAAGGCGGAUUAAUACCGCAUAACAGUAUCGAGUGGCAUCAUUUGAUAAUUAAACCUGAGGGGGUCUUGGAUGGGGUUGCGGGUCAUUAGCUAGUUGGUAGGGUAACGGCUUACCAAGGCGACGAUGACUAGGGGAGCUGAGAGGCUGGUCCCCCACACGGGCACUGAGAUACGGGCCCGACUCCUACGGGAGGCAGCAGUAGGGAAUAUUGGGCAAUGGGCGAGAGCCUGACCCAGCCAUGCCGCGUGCAGGAAGAAGGCUUUCUGAGUCGUAAACUGCUUUUGACAGGGAAGAAUAAGCACUACGUGUAGUGUGAUGACGGUACCUGCAGAAUAAGCACCGGCUAACUCCGUG
rnacentral:rRNA from 1 species